rnacentral:misc_RNA from 1 species
CGACCCUUUUCUUCCGAACAAUUAUCUCAUUUCCUUGCCAGAUAAUUUCUGCAGGCCCCUCUUCUACAUAUUCCCAAUUGUCAUCCUCAUUAUCCUUUUCAACCAGUAAUCUGUUGGACUCUUCCUCUUCUUCCAAGGCCAUCCUCCUUUCCUCUUCUUCUUCCUCCUCCUUUCUCUUCCUUUCCAUUUCUUCGAGCCACUUCCUCUCUCUCUCCUCGAAUUCCUUCCUCUCCCUCUCCAUUCUCUGUCUCUCCUCUUCCUCCAUCUCCUUCUCUCUCCUCUGCUCCUCCGGAUCGUUCAGUUUCCUCUCCUCUUCUUCCCUCUCCUUCUCCGCCAUCUCCCUCCUCACUUGCUUCCUCUUCAUCUUCUUCCUCG